AUUGAACGCUGGCGGCAGGCCUAACACAUGCAAGUCGAGCGGAUGAGGGGAGCUUGCUCCUUGAUUCAGCGGCGGACGGGUGAGUAAUGCCAAGGAAUCUGCCUGGCAGUGGGGGAUAACGUUCCGUAAGGAACGCUAAUACCGCAUACGUCCUACGGGAGAAAGCAGGGGACCUUCGGGCCUCGCGCUAUCAGAUGAGCAUAGGUCGGAUUAGCUAGUUGGUGAGGUAAUGGCUCACCAAGGCGACGAGCCGUAACUGGUCUGAGAGGAUGAGCAGUCCCACUGGAACUGAGACACGGUCCAGACUCCUACGGGAGGCAGCAGUGGGGAAUAUCGGACAAUGGGCGAAAGCCUGAUCCAGCCAUGCCGCGUGUGUGAAGAAGGUCUUCGGAUUGUAAAGCACUUUAAGUCGGGAGGAAGGGCUGCAGGUUAAUACCUUGCAGUCUUGACGUUACCGACAGAAUAAGCACCGGCUAACUUCGUGCCAGCAGCCGCCGUAAUAC
rnacentral:rRNA from 1 species